AAGGCUUUAGCUUAAUUAAAGUAUCUGUUUUGCAAAUAGAAGAUGCGGGUUAGUUUCCUGUAGGUCUUA
ensembl:Mt_tRNA